rnacentral:rRNA from 2 species
CUCAGGACGAACGCUGGCGGCGUGCCUAAUACAUGCAAGUUGAGCGAUGAAGAUUGGUGCUUGCACCAAUUUGAAGAGCAGCGAACGGGUGAGUAACGCGUGGGGAAUCUGCCUUUGAGCGGGGGACAACAUUUGGAAACGAAUGCUAAUACCGCAUAACAACUUUAAACAUAAGUUUUAAGUUUGAAAGAUGCAAUUGCAUCACUCAAAGAUGAUCCCGCGUUGUAUUAGCUAGUUGGUGAGGUAAAGGCUCACCAAGGCGAUGAUACAUAGCCGACCUGAGAGGGUGAUCGGCCACAUUGGGACUGAGACACGGCCCAAACUCCUACGGGAGGCAGCAGUAGGGAAUCUUCGGCAAUGGACGAAAGUCUGACCGAGCAACGCCGCGUGAGUGAAGAAGGUUUUCGGAUCGUAAAACUCUGUUGGUAGAGAAGAACGUUGGUGAGAGUGGAAAGCUCAUCAAGUGACGGUAACUACCCAGAAAGGGACGGCUAACUACGUGCCAGCAGCCGCGGUAAUACGUAGGUCCCGAGCGUUGUCCGGAUUUAUUGGGCGUAAAGCGAGCGCAGGUGGUUUAUUAAGUCUGGUGUAAAAGGCAGUGGCUCAACCAUUGUAUGCAUUGGAAACUGGUAGACUUGAGUGCAGGAGAGGAGAGUGGAAUUCCAUGUGUAGCGGUGAAAUGCGUAGAUAUAUGGAGGAACACCGGUGGCGAAAGCGGCUCUCUGGCCUGUAACUGACACU